UACGUAGGGUGCGAGCGUUGCCCGGAUUUAUUGGGCGUAAAGGGCGCGUAGGCGGCCACGCACGUCCGUUGUGAAAUCGCCCGGCUCAACUGGGCGGGGUCAGCGGAUACGGUGUGGCUAGAGCAAGCUAGGGGGCAAUGGAAUUCCCGGUGUGAGUGGUGGAAUGCGUAGAUAUCGGGAGGAACACCGGUGGCGAAGGCGGGUCUCUGGGCCGACACUGACACUGAGAGACGAAAGCUAGGGGAGCGAAUGGG
rnacentral:rRNA from 1 species